rnacentral:rRNA from 1 species
UACAGAGGGGGCAAGCGUUGUUCGGAAUUACUGGGCGUAAAGGGCGCGUAGGCGGCCCGCUAAGUCGGACGUGAAAUCCCCGAGCUCAACUCGGGAACUGCGUCCGAUACUGGUGGGCUUGAAUCCGGGAGAGGGAUGCGGAAUUCCAGGUGUAGCGGUGAAAUGCGUAGAUAUCGGGAGGAAGGCCGGUGGCGAAGGCGGCGCUCUGGAACAUUUCUGACGCUGAGGCUCGAAAGCGUGGGGAGCAAACAGG